CGGGGCACUCAGACACAGAAGCUUUCGCCGACUGGAGACGUUACCGGAGGGAGGAAGAGCAGGAAGCAACUCUCGCUCAAUCACUUCCUUGUUGUUGUCGCUGCAGCCCUGAUGUGAGAGGGGUUACGUUCCGCCGCGUGACGUCAUGCCGCAGCGUUGGCCGCGGGAAACGGAGGGGAAAGAGAGAGAACGGGAGAGAAUGAACGGGAGGGUCCGGGGCGUGGCUAUGGCUUGGGGGCGUGGCUUUUGACCUGCAAGAAAAGGUGUAUAGGAAGAAUGGUGGGAGAAAGCAAGCAGAGGACUGAUUUUAGCUGUUUCUGGGUCAACUGAUGAUUCUUCGUUCUAGAAGGGAGUAAGAUUUCCAGAUCCCAUUCAGAGUUUGAAUAGGCAUGAUACAGUUCAUAAAUGGAGACCACAUCUAAAUACUGCUGGAAUGAUCCAGACCUGGUUAAAGGGGAAGAAUGAAGGGAACAGAUUUACUGUGCUCUCCUUUUCCUGUUCUCCUUAAUCAUCUGCCAACUUCUGAGGGGGGAAGCUUUACUAAAGCAAUGAAGUCUUGUGCCGUUUAUGAAAGNGGUGGAAUCGUCAUCUUCACUGCACACAUUUAUCAUCUCACAUUUGGAUGGGGAAAUUGACAGUGAGUGCAAACUAAUCCAUUCCUAGCGAUUACUUCUAUGGCGAGUCUAAAUAGCCUCCUUAUCUGAGUGCACUUGGCUUUAAAAGUCUACAUCAGCACUUUGAAUUGGUACGAUACUGCUGCCAUAUGUCUCAUUCACAUGAUUCCAGGCAGAAGCUAAGUGACUGCAUUUUGCACCAAUUUAAGUUUACAAAUGGCUCUUAAAGGCACCCUCCACAGAGAAGCAAUCUAAUCUGGAUGUCAUUUGUAUGUGGACAUUGUACCAAGGAUCACAACUAGCAUGUCAGCUUAAGAGAAU
rnacentral:lncRNA from 1 species